UUGUUGGUUUUGCAGCAUAUAUACUAAAAUUGGAGCAAUACAGAAAUGAUUAGCAUGAUCCCUGUGCAACAAUGACAUGCAAAUUCAUGAAGUGUUCCGUAUUUUU
ensembl:snRNA U6 U6 spliceosomal RNA